AACGAACGCUGGCGGCAGGCUUAACACAUGCAAGUCGAACGGGCGCAGCAAUGCGUCAGUGGCAGACGGGUGAGUAACACGUGGGAACCUUCCUUAAGGUACGGGACAACUCAGGGAAACUUGAGCUAAUACCGUAUACGUCCGAGAGGAGAAAGAUUUAUCGCCUUUAGACGGGCCCGCGUCGGAUUAGCUAGUUGGUGGGGUAACGGCCUACCAAGGCGACGAUCCGUAGCUGAUCUGAGAGGAUGAUCAGCCACACUGGGACUGAGACACGGCCCAGACUCCUACGGGAGGCAGCAGUGGGGAAUCUUGGACAAUGGGGGAAACCCUGAUCCAGCCAUGCCGCGUGAGUGAAGAAGGCCUUAGGGUUGUAAAGCUCUUUUGCCAGGGACGAUAAUGACGGUA
rnacentral:rRNA from 1 species